UAAAAGAAAGAACCCUUGAUUGUGGCUUAUAAGCUCUGUUCAUCUCUAUUUGCCUGCAAAAUACUGCAAGAAAGUGGUAGAAGAAAGUUGCUUGUCUCAUGGAAAAUGGGAACAAGAGGAGAGACAGAUGAAGAAGCUAGAGAGAAGGUUCCCUCAAAGAUGCACCUCAUCAUCUAGUUCCUUCUCCAGGCUCUCCCCUGUUAGCAGCAUAACCAGCCAGUAUUUGAUGUCUAUUCUACACACAGCACUAUUCUUAGCAUACGAGAUUGAAGAAUGA
rnacentral:lncRNA from 1 species